UCAAGCUAGUAAGGGCAUACGGUGGAUGCCUUGGCGCCAAGAGCCGAAGAAGGACGUGGUAAGCUGCGAUAAGCCACGGUGAGCCGCAAGCAGGCGUCGACCCGUGGAUUUCCGAAUGGGGCAACCUUACUGGAGUAAUAUCCAGUAAUCCAUUACUGAAUCCAUAGGUAAUGGAGGGCAACCCGGGGAACUGAAACAUCUAAGUACCCGGAGGAAAAGAAAGAAACCUCGAUUCCCCUAGUAGCGGCGAGCGAAGCGGGAAGAGCCCAAACCCAGAUAGAGGUCAGAGUUCAGAAGUCGGAGGUCGGAAAACCUCAGACCUCAGACAUCUGACAUCCGACCUCUAUCUGGGGGUUGUGGGACUUGCGAAAGGCUCAAUUUUCUUAGUUGAAGAGGGCUGGAAAGCCCCACCACAGAAGGUAAAAGUCCUGUAGGCGAAAAGGAAAGCGAGCUGGCAAGGAUCCCGAGUACCACGAGGCACGUGAAAUCUCGUGGGAAUCCGGGGGGACCACCCCCCAAGGCUAAAUACUCCUUGGCGACCGAUAGUGAACAAGUACCGUGAGGGAAAGGUGAAAAGCACCCCGGGAGGGGAGUGAAAAAGAACCUGAAACCGUAUGCUUACAAGCUGUCACAGCCCCAUAAGCGGGUAGUGACGUACUUUUUGUAGAACGGACCGGCGAGUUACGUUAACAAGCGAGGUUAAGGUUAGAGACCGGAGCCGUAGCGAAAGCGAGUCUUAAAAGGGCGUAUAGUUUGUUGACGUAGACCCGAAACCGGGUGAUCUACCCAUGCCCAGGGUGAAACGUUAGUAAAAUAACGUGGAGGCCCGAACCAGGUAACGUUAAAAAGUUAUUGGAUGAGGUGUGGGUAGGGGUGAAAAGCCAAUCGAACUCGGAGAUAGCUGGUUCUCCCCGAAAUAGCUUUAGGGCUAGCCUUAACGGAAGGAUUUGCGGAGGUAGAGCACUGACUAGGCUAGGGGCCUUCACCGGUUACCGAACCUUAUCAAACUCCGAAUGCCGCAAAUUAGUCGUUAGGAGUCAGACUAUGGGGGAUAAGCUUCAUAGUCGAGAGGGAAACAGCCCAGACCGACAGCUAAGGUCCCAAAGUACGGAUUAAGUGGAGAAGGAUGUGGAAUCGCAGAGACAACCAGGAUGUUGGCUUAGAAGCAGCCAUCAUUUAAAGAGUGCGUAAUAGCUCACUGGUCCAGGGGUUCCGCGCCGAAAAUGUAACGGGGCUCAAAUCCGUCACCGAAGCUUCGGNNNNNNNNNNNNNNNNNNNNNNNNNNNNNNNNNNNNNGGUAGGGGAGCGUUCUUAGUGCACAGAAGGCAUACCGAAAGGAGUGCUGGAGCGCUAAGAAGUGAGAAUGCCGGUAUAAGUACGCGAAAAGGCAGGUGAGAAUCCUGCCCGCCGAAAACCUAAGGGUUCCUGGGGAAGGCUCGUCCGCCCAGGGUAAGUCGGGACCUAAGGCGAGGCCGAAAGGCGUAGUCGAUGGGAAAUCGGUUGAGAUUCCGAUACCACCUAAUAUGCGUUAUAAAGCGAAGGGGUGACGCAGGAGGGUAGGCAGAGCGCACUGUUGGUCAUGUGCGUCUAAGCUGGUAGGGUGUUAGGUAGGCAAAUCCGCCUAACGUUAGGCCUGAGAAGCGAAUGCGAGGGAAAAAAAAGUACCGAAGUCGCUGAUCCCACACUGCCAAGAAAAGCCUCUAGUGAGUGUAUUAGGUGCCCGUACCGCAAACCGACACAGGUAGGUGGGGUGAGAAUCCUAAGGCGCGCGAGAGAACACUUGUUAAGGAACUCGGCAAACUGACCCCGUAACUUCGGGAGAAGGGGUGCUCUGGUAGCGUGAGGAUUAAACAAACCGUAGCGUGAGAGAGCCGCAGAGAAUAGGUCCAGGCGACUGUUUAGCAAAAACACAGGUCCUUGCGAAAGAGAAAUCUGACGUAUAAGGGCUGACGCCUGCCCGGUGCUGGAAGGUUAAGGGGAAGGGUGCAAGCUCUGAACCGAAGCCCCAGUAAACGGCGGCCGUAACUAUAACGGUCCUAAGGUAGCGAAAUUCCUUGUCGGGUAAGUUCCGACCCGCACGAAAGGCGUAACGAUCUGGACGCUGUCUCAACAAGUGACUCGGCGAAAUUGUAAUACCGGUAAAGAUGCCGGUUACCUGCGAUAGGACAGAAAGACCCCGUGGAGCUUUACUGUAGCCUGAUAUUGGGUUUCGGUACUUCAUGUACAGGAUAGGUGGGAGACAUAGAAGCAUGUGCGCCAGCAUGUGUGGAGUCGCCGGUGGGAUACCACUCUUGAAGUAUUGGAAUUCUAACCUGGUUCCCUGAAUCGGGAAUGGGGACAUUGUCAGGUGGGCAGUUUGACUGGGGCGGUCGCCUCCCAAAAGGUAACGGAGGCGCUCAAAGGUUCCCUCAGCGCGGAUGGAAAUCGCGCGAAGAGUGUAAAGGCAUAAGGGAGCUUGACUGCGAGACCUACAAGUCGAGCAGGUACGAAAGUAGGACUUAGUGAUCCGGCGGUUGCGAGUGGAAGUGCCGUCGCUCAACGGAUAAAAGCUACCCCGGGGAUAACAGGCUUAUCUCCCCCAAGAGUCCA
rnacentral:rRNA from 2 species